CCCGUCCGUCAUAGGGCGACGGGGAGCGGGCGUACUCUAUCUAAUGUCUAACGACUCUCGGCAACGGAUAUCUCGGCUCUCGCAUCGAUGAAGAACGUAGCGAAAUGCGAUACUUGGUGUGAAUUGCAGAAUCCCGUGAACCAUCGAGUCUUUGAACGCAAGUUGCGCCCGAAGCCAUUAGGCCGAGGGCACGCCUGCCUGGGCGUCACGCAUCGCU
rnacentral:rRNA from 1 species